rnacentral:rRNA from 1 species
AACGAACGCUGGCGGCAGGCCUAACACAUGCAAGUCGAACGCCCUAGCAAUAGGGAGUGGCAGACGGGUGAGUAACACGUGGGAAUAUCCCCCUCAGUACGGAAUAGCCCAGGGAAACUUGGAGUAAUACCGUAUACGUCCGUGAGGAGAAAGAUUUAUCGCUGAGGGAUUAGCCCGCGUCGGAUUAGCUAGUUGGUGAGGUAACGGCUCACCAGGGCGACGAUCCGUAGCUGGUCUGAGAGGACGACCAGCCACAUUGGGACUGAGACACGGCGCAAACUCCUACGAGAGGCAGCAGUGGGGAAUAUUGGACAAUAGGCGCAAGCCUGAUCCAGCCAUGCCGCGUGGGUGACGAAGGGCUUAGGGUUGUAAAGCUCUUUUGGCGGGGACGAUAAUGACGGUACACGCAGAAUAAGCCCCGGCUAAGUUCGUGCCAGACGCCGCAGUAAAAC